rnacentral:rRNA from 1 species
UACGUAGGUGGCAAGCGUUGUUCGGAAUUAUUGGGCGUAAAGCGCGCGUAGGCGGGUCUUUAAGUGAGGGGUGAAAGGUUCGGGCUCAACCCGGACACUGCCUUUCAUACUGGGGAUCUUGAGUGCGGGAGGGGCGAGUGGAAUGGUCGGUGUAGCGGUGAAAUGCGUAGAUAUCGAUCGGAACACCCAUGGCGAAGGCAGCUCGCUGGCCUGCAACUGACGCUGAGGCGCGAAAGCGUGGGGAGCAAACAGG